rnacentral:lncRNA from 1 species
GUUUUCACAAAAUUCGAUCAUUUUGUAACAUUAUGAAUACAUUUUAUAACUUAAUAUAUUUUGGUUACAUUUUAUGUCAUUAAGUAGUUGUAUUUAUUUAUUUUUUGAGACAGUCUCACUCUGUUGCCCAGGCUGGAGUGCAGUGGUGUGAUCUCAGCUCACUGCAACCUCUGCCUCCCAGAUUCAAGUGAUUCCCCUGCCUCCUGAUAGCUGCGAUUACAGGCACAUGCCAUCAUGCCCAGCUAAUUUUUUUUUUUUUUUUUUUUUUGAGACAAAGUCUCGCUCUUGUCCCUCAGGCUGGAGUGCAAUGGCGCGAUCUUGGCUCCCUGCAACCUCCACCUCCCGGGUUCAAGCGAUUCUCCUGCCUCAGCCUCCCGAGUAGCUGGGAUUAGAGGCGCCUGACACCACGCCCAGCUAAUUUUUGUAUUUUUAGUAGAGAUGGGGUUUCACCAUGUUGGCCAGGCUGGUCUACAAACUCCUGACCUCAGGUGAUCUGCCCACCUCGGCCUCCCAAAGUGCUGGGAUUACAGGCAUGAGCCACCACACCCAGCCUAUUUUUGUAUUUUUUUACCAGCUUGAAACAAUAAGCAUUUAUUAUAUCACUGUUUUAGUA